CCUACGGGUGGCUGCAGUGGGGAAUAUUGGACAAUGGGGGCAACCCUGAUCCAGCCAUGCCGCGUGUGUGAAGAAGGCCCUCGGGUUGUAAAGCACUUUCAGUGAGGAAGAACGCCUGGUGGUUAAUACCCAUCAGGAAAGACAUCACUCACAGAAGAAGCACCGGCUAACUCCGUGCCAGCAGCCGCGGUAAUACGGAGGGUGCGAGCGUUAAUCGGAAUUACUGGGCGUAAAGCGCGCGUAGGUGGCUUGAUAAGCCGGUUGUGAAAGCCCCGGGCUCAACCUGGGAACGGCAUCCGGAACUGUCAAGCUAGAGUGCGGGAGAGGAAGGUAGAAUUCCCGGUGUAGCGGUGAAAUGCGUAGAGAUCGGGAGGAAUACCAGUGGCGAAGGCGGCCUUCUGGACUGACACUGACACUGAGGUGCGAAAGCGUGGGUAGCAAACAGGAUUAGAUACCCUGGUAGUC
rnacentral:rRNA from 1 species